rnacentral:rRNA from 1 species
GAGUUUGAUCUUGGCUCAGAUUGAACGCUGGCGGCAGGCCUAACACAUGCAAGUCGAACGGUAACAGGAAGAAGCUUGCUUCUUUGCUGACGAGUGGCGGACGGGUGAGUAAUGUCUGGGAAACUGCCUGAUGGAGGGGGAUAACUACUGGAAACGGUAGCUAAUACCGCAUAACGUCGCAAGACCAAAGAGGGGGACCUUCGGGCCUCUUGCCAUCGGAUGUGCCCAGAUGGGAUUAGCUAGUAGGUGGGGUAACGGCUCACCUAGGCGACGAUCCCUAGCUGGUCUGAGAGGAUGACCAGCCACACUGGAACUGAGACACGGUCCAGACUCCUACGGGAGGCAGCAGUGGGAAUAUUGCACAUGGGCGCAAGCCUGAUGCAGCCAUCGCCGCGUGUAUGAAGAAGG